rnacentral:rRNA from 1 species
GAUCAUGGCUCAGGAUGAACGCUGGCGGCGUGCUUAACACAUGCAAGUCGAACGAAGCAGUUCGGAAAGCUUGCUUUCUGAACUGACUGAGUGGCGGACGGGUGAGUAACGCGUGGGUAACCUGCCUCAUACAGGGGGAUAACAGUUAGAAAUGACUGCUAAUACCGCAUAAGCGCACGGUAUCGCAUGAUACAGUGUGAAAAACUCCGGUGGUAUGAGAUGGACCCGCGUCUGAUUAGCUAGUUGGUGAGGUAACGGCCCACCAAGGCGACGAUCAGUAGCCGACCUGAGAGGGUGACCGGCCACAUUGGGACUGAGACACGGCCCAAACUCCUACGGGAGGCAGCAGUGGGGAAUAUUGCACAAUGGGCGAAAGCCUGAUGCAGCAACGCCGCGUGAGCGAAGAAGGUCUUCGGAUUGUAAAGCUCUGUCCUUGGGGAAGAAUAAAUGACGGUACCCUUGGAGGAAGCCCCGGCUAACUACGUG